UACGAAGGGUGCAAGCGUUACUCGGAAUUACUGGGCGUAAAGCGCACGUAGGCGGCUUUCUAAGUCGGGGGUGAAAUCCUGGAGCUCAACUCCAGAACUGCCUUCGAUACUGGAGAGCUCGAGUCCGGGAGAGGUGAGUGGAACUGCGAGUGUAGAGGUGAAAUUCGUAGAUAUUCGCAAGAACACCAGUGGCGAAGGCGGCUCACUGGCCCGGUACUGACGCUGAGGUGCGAAAGCGUGGGGAGCAAACAGG
rnacentral:rRNA from 1 species